ACCUGCGUCGAAAGUGAUUUUGGUCUUGUUGGUGGCCUGGUCAUUGAUAGUGCAGGAAAAGCAUUAUUGACAGCAUUUCCCGUGUUUGGGGGAUUAAUUUAUUCCUACCAAACCCUGAGCUUUUCAGACA